rnacentral:lncRNA from 1 species
UACCGUAGGGAGCAGCUCCUCCCACCUGCACAUAAAAGCCAAGUGCAUGCUACCAGGAGCUGAUCAGAGCACUUUCUCAGUCCUCCACUGUUUUGAGCCAGUGAUCUUCUCUCCUUGGAUCUUGUACACUCAAGCUUUCACUUGUCCAAAUCUUUGAAUAAUUUCUUAGCUUGAAACUAACUGCUGUUGAUGAGAGAAUAUUCAGCUUGCAGUAAUGGAAAAACAGAAGAAAAAGCGGAUUGUCAGAAUCACUCAGAUUUGAUAUUCAGCACUGUUAUGAUCUCUUCAUUACUGGAUGUCGAGUCUAGAUAUCACAACCAGCGUAUUAAAGGACUCUCCUAUUAAUCUGAGGUGAUGGGCAGCACUGCAUGCACAGCAAGCAAAGUGAAAAGACUGGCAGCUCAAGAGCCAAUUGUGAAUCAUCAAAACUUUUCCCUGGAUAAACUCAGGAGUAAUCCUGGUAGGUUUUGUGGCAAUUUUUUAAAUUUCACUCCC